AAAAUCUUGAUUACUUUGCUUUUCUCUCUCCAAAAUCUACCUUGAUAGUUACUGCUGUGUGGUUGUUUAAUAAUUUCCUAUUCUAGUUGUUACUUGCGGUCCUCUGGAUAAUAUUGUUUAAUAUUAAUAUGAUCCCCCGAAGUAGUCAUGUUUGAUUUGUCUUGAUUUCACUGCGCAUGAGUGUUUUGAUCACAGCCCCCUUCUGCUCUAAUCUUUUAAGACUGUGUCAGUAGCUCUUCAUACUCCAUUGGGUUAUCUCUGGUAGGUGAUUCUUGAUUGAUUAGCCCUCCAAGCUUUGAUCUUUUUGUCAUAGUUUCUGAAUUAGCAAUAUAGCCAUGCAUAUGGAUUUUAUGUCUGAAGUCUGAUGAAAUUGCAUGAAAAGUGGAAGUAUAUUCAGUUAAUAUAUCAAGCUAUAUGGAGUAAUUGAGCAUUUGAGAUGAUGAUCAAGAUCUGAACUUGAGAGUAUGAGGUCAAGUCUAUUGCUUUCUGAGUGGAUCUGUAGCGGGAUUCUUGUGAUUAGUGAUAAUCGUUGCACGGAUGCAGAGGAGCUGGAAUCUUGAUGAGGUUCCAUAACUUGAGGGGUUUUCUGAGAAACACUGUUGUUUAGAAACCAUUGAUUUUUUUCAUAAGUCCAAUUUCAGGGAUCCGAGGAACUAUGGAUGGUAAGGCUAAGACCAUCGUGUGGUUUAGGAGGGAUUUGAGGAUUGAGGAUAAUCCUGCCUUAGCUGCUGCUGCUAGAGAUGGUUGUGUAUUCCCUGUUUUUAUAUGGUGUCCUAAAGAAGAAGGUCAGUUUUAUCCUGGUAGAGUGUCAAGGUGGUGGCUAAAGCAGUCUCUCAUCCAAUUGGAACUGUCAUUGAGAUCCCUUGGGGCUAAAUUGGUGCUGAUCAAAGCUCAGAGUACUUUGGAAGCUCUUUUGGAAUGCAUUGGUGCUGCUGGGGCAACGAAAGUAGUUUAUAAUCAUCUUUAUGAUCCUGUCUCGCUGGUUCGUGAUCAUGAUAUUAAGCAGAAAUUAGGGGAGCUCGGCAUUUCUGUGCAAAGUUAUAAUGGAGAGUUGUUAUAUGAACCAUGGGAAGUAUAUGGUGAUGAUGGACAUGCUUUUACAACAUUUGAUGCAUUUUGGGAUAAAUGCGUGCACAUGCAAAAUGAACCAGCUUCACAACUUCCUCCGUGGCGAUUAGAUCUAUGUGCAGGAUCAGUUGAUGGGCAUUCAAUUGAUGAGCUGGGUCUAGAAGAUGAAUCAGAAAAGUCAAGUAAUGCUUUGCUUGGAAGAGGAUGGUCACCUGGUUGGAGCAAUGCUGACAAAGCCUUAACAGAAUUUGUAGAAAACCAUUUGUGUGAUUAUUCAAAGGACAGGCUCAGGGUUGCAGGGAACUCCACAUCCCUCUUAUCCCCACAUUUGCAUUUUGGUGAAUUAAGUGUGAGGAAAGUUUUCCAUCUAGUACGUAUGAAACAUUUGCUAUGGUCAAAGGAAGGGAACCAUGAUCAAGAAGAGAGUGCUAAUCUAUUCCUCAGGGCUAUUGGCCUUAGAGAAUAUUCUCGCUAUCUAUGUUUCAACUUCCCAUUUACUCAUGAGAGGUCAUUGCUAAGCACCUUAAAAUUUUUCCCGUGGCACGCUGAUCAGUCACAUUUUAAGGCUUGGCGACAGGGUCGAACUGGAUAUCCUUUAGUUGAUGCGGGUAUGAGAGAACUUUGGGCAACUGGAUGGAUCCACAACAGAAUCAGAGUAAUUGUUUCAAGUUUCUUUGUCAAGUUUCUGCUUCUUCCGUGGCAGUGGGGUAUGAAGUAUUUUUGGGAUACCCUUUUGGAUGCAGAUUUGGAAAGUGAUAUUCUUGGUUGGCAGUAUAUAUCUGGGAGCUUGCCGGAUGGACAUGAGCUUGAGCGCUUAGAUAGCCCAGAGGUUCAAGGAUUUAAAUUUGAUCCUGAGGGUGAAUAUGUGAGGCAUUGGCUGCCUGAGCUAGCGAGAAUGCCUGCUGAGUGGAUCCAUCAUCCAUGGGAUGCACCUAUUUCUGUGCUUAAAGCCUCAGGAGUGGAGUUGGGAUUAAAUUAUCCAAAACCAAUAGUUGAUAUAGAUGUGGCAAGGGAUCGUCUAAUUGAAGCUAUAUUCACCAUGAGAGGGAAGGAAGCAACUGCAAGAGCUACAAAUUUUAAUGGAACAGAUGAAGUUGUCUUUGACAACUCUGAAACUAGUGAAAUUGUAGGUAAUCCAAAGGCUAUCUUAAAGGAAAAGCUUCCUUGUCCUACUAGUUCAUCUCAUGAUCAGAGGGUUCCAUCCCUGCAAAAUUCUAAGAAUGUUAUAUUGAAUAGAAAGAGACCAAUGCCUGCUGAAGAUAAACAACCUCUGAGAGAUAAUGUACAUAAUUGUAAUCAUAAUGGUGCGACCUCAAAAACGGAUGAUGACUUGCGCUCUACUGCUGAAUCUUCUUCAACAAAAAAGCAGACCACCAGUAGCAGAACUUCGUUUUCUGUUCCACAAGCUGUUUCCUUACCGUUGAAAGUUAAACCUUUUCCAGAGUGUGAAUCUUCUGGUCCAGUGGAAGAGGAGAUUGACACUGAAGAGACAUCAAGAGAAAACAGAGCUGUAGGAGUCUGAUGCCAUAGAGCUUUGAAACCCUGCCAAACUUUCAUGUUGAUAGGAAAGUGUUAAUAAAAUGUGGAUGAUGCUUGCUGAGUCACUGAAGAUUUACUAAUGUGGUGGAAUAGUCUCAAGAACAAUCGGCAGAAAAGCAUUAUUAUGAACUAUCUAGCUGUCUACUGGAAUAUUGCUGAGUACUACUAGUAUUAUCAUCACCUACGAGGCUGCUUGCCGGCCAGAAGAAACAAAUGAGCAGGAUAGAGUUUGAUUCUUGUAUUUCCUUUCUUUAGAAUUGACACGUUUCCUAAAUUUGUUUGUAUGUUUUUUCUCCGGGUUAAUUUUAUUUUGCACCUUUCAACUAUAUCCUAGUUCUUACUUUGGUCCCUGAACUCUAAACUAGGAUAUUUUAGUUCCUAAACUUUACCCUGACUCCUACUUUGUUUCCUAAACUAUAAACUAGGAAACCUUGGUCCCUAAACUUUAUCCCGAUUUCCCCUUUGUUCUCUAAACUCCUUUGUUAUUUUCUAAUUUUGGGGUUUUUUUUAGGUUAUUGGUUAAUCUAAUUUUCCUUUCAUGCUCUUGUAACAUGCAACCCUGCCGCUCAAGUUGCUAAUAUUUCAUUACUUUUGGGGAUUCUGUUAACGAUUGUACUUAAGUGGGAUGUUUUACAUAGUUUAGGGACUAAAGUGGAAAUUCAAGCAUAGUUGAAUGGUGCAAAAUGGAAUUAACUCCUCUUCUCUACUGACUCCGCUUGAAUCUUCAAGAAGGUAUUCAUUUUAUGGCUUUGAGUCUCAUUGAACUUUCAGAAAGUUUGGCCUAGAAUAGAAGUAAGAAAUCUCAAACUACAAUAUUGAGUCACCAUACUCUAUCAUAGUACUAUAUAGUAACGAAAUCUGAUAGUUAUCUAGAAUAGAGUAAGUUAUUCUGCUUGCUAUUCUUUCAUGAAAUCAUAAGUGUUUGUGAUGGCAAGUUCUGAUCUGUAUUGUUUCAAAUUGAUACAAGGCUCCAACAAAAGCAAACGUCCUUGUAUCACUUCAGAAAGUAAUCGAAAUGCAGAAUGUAAGAUGCAAUUUAUU